UUGUGACAUGGCCAGCCCCCAUUCUAAAGCUCCCUUGCACUACCAUGCCCGUUAGCUCAAAUUCAAGCAUGGUCUAAAGAAACCACUGUGAAUGUGUUACAAGGCAUUACAGGUCAGGCUCCAUCCCAGAAGCCAGUAACAGAAAUCAGAAACAUUCUUCAUUUAUGCAUUACCCUGGUAUUGUGCAAUUGCUAUGUGAAUAUUAAUAGAGACUAGGAUUGGUCAAACAUUUUCUGUAAAGGGCUGCAAGGCAAAUACUUCAGCCUGUUUUGAAGACUUAAAACAAAAGUGCUAUAUGAACAAUGCUCAAUAAAUAUUAGACGAAUUAAUGGAUGAAUGGGUGAAUUGAGCACUGGAGAGAUGAAAGGAUUCUUCUACUGCCUUUUGUGAACAGAAAAUGAAAGUGGGUGUUUUAUAUACCUGUUGUUCUUGGAUGGUGUGAGAGUGCUGUUAAAGAAGACAAUUUAAGGCUAAAGUUUCAAUUCUCUUUCCUGAGCCUCAGUUAUGUUAUCUACAAAGUGGGAGUGAAGUUUUUCUUUGUCUUAAGUACAUUGUGAAGAAAUCCAAAACAAAAACAGACAUUUCAGCGCUCUGAAGCUGCUCUGACAUGCCUUGCCAAGACGACUCAACACGACUGUGAAGAGGCUCCUCUAUGAGGAAACUAUGUCCUGUUAGGAUGAAGAUGACAUAAGAAAUGAACAUUUUUCUCUCCAUGAGACACGUUGAACACAUCACUCCCAAAAUUCACUUGAAACAUCCAGCUUGAAGUAGCCUUGAAGAAAGUGCAGUCCAUCUCCUUCAGAAUGAGUGACCUCAGUAGAGAUUUGUUACUCAUUUAUAAUUGAUCAACUGAUUCUCAUGCUCUACUAAUGAAUUGUCUAUGGGAAAUAUUAGAAAAAGGACUGAUUAAAAAGAACAAAAACCACAAAAUAAUCUGGUAUGAAUUUAUAUUUUAACCUUCCUUCCUCUAUUCACUUCCUGGAAGUCGAAAAGUAUGGUAUUAUGAGAAAAAAGA